rnacentral:lncRNA from 1 species
CUUGUACCCUGUGUGUGUGUGCACCUGUCCUUUGUUUGCCUCUUCACAGAUUUUCCCCACAGGUAUUCUUUACAUGCCUCUCUAUUUUUUUGUGGUGGAAUCUCUAUUACUGCUUAUAUACUGGUCUUUCAACCUCCUUUGACAUAUUUGGAAACAAAACCAAACAUGAAUAGUUCAGACCUUCUGUUUCUUUUUACAAUUGUGUAUCAGUUUCUCUUGGUAAGUACAUACUUUAAACUGCUUAUCCAUGCUGUAAGUGCUGUUGUGAAAAGAUAAAUGUUAGUCUGUUACAGAGUUGAUACCAUCAUAAUAAUGAAAAUUUGUUACUACUGUUCAUCAAAGUUAGUUUCUCCUAUAACGAUAUUUUCAGUGUGAUAACUUGAUCCUAUUAUGUUACCAUUCGGAUAUGAUGUAUUCCCCAAAAGGUUCUGUGUUAAUGCAGAAAUACGAAAGAUGAAAUAAUUAGAUUAUUAGAGCUGUAACCUAAUCAGCCCAUCUCUACAGCUUUCCCCCAUCACACUCUUUGCCAUGAUGUGCUUGCUCACCUUGAGCCCAGACUAAUGGAAUCAGCCAUCUAUGGACUGAGACCUCUAGUUCUGAGAGCUCCAAAUAAGCUUACUUCCCCUAAAUAAACUGUUGUUUUUGUCACAGUGAUGCAAAGAUGACUAAAACAAAAAUUCUCGCUGAGAGGAAGAGUCAUUGCUGUGACUAACCUAUCCCUGUGGUUCAGAAGCCUUUGGAAAUGGCUCAUGGGAAGAGUUUAAAAAUUUUUAGAAUGUUGUCAGUGGAAUGUGUUAGGUGAUUCUGGUUGGAACUCAGAAGUCCAGAGUGCUGAGAGAAAUGUGUUCUGUGCUCAUGAGGUUUCAGAGAGAAAUAAGGACUCCUUUGGGAUUUGGACUGGAGGUCUUUCAGUGCAUUCCGGCAAAGAAAUUGUCUACCUUUUCCUUGUGUCCUGAUAUUUUCAAUAAGGCUAAAUUUAAAGGUGAUAGACUACUCUAUCUGGUAAAGGAAAUUUCAAGGCUGCAGAAUAGUCACUGCCUUGAAUAUUGGUGGCAGCUUUUAGCAAAGUUCACAAUGACACUCAGGAGCAGAAAGCAGAGCUGAAGAAUUCUAAAAACUAUCAGGUUGACCAGAAAAGUUCCUGUAAACUGGAGCCAAAAAAAAAAAAAAAGUUGUGUGCAUUGAAGAGAUUACAGCCCUUUAGGAUAUGCUUAAUAUUUUGCAGAGAGAUAAAAGGAAAGAUGCCUUGAGGAGCGUGAGUUCAAACCCAGUCUCAGCAACUUAGUGAAGCCUUAAGCAACUCAUCAAGACCCUGUCUCUCAAUACAAAAUAAAGAGGCCUGGAGAGGUGGACCAGUGGUUAAGUGCCCCUGGAUUUAAUCCCUGGUACCAAAAAAUAAAAUAAUAAUUUAAGGAGAAACCAUAUGUUCUGCAUAGGACAAAGGGACAAGGCACUAUUUGGAGAACACAUGAAAUGCCAAGAUUUUGCCUGUAGUCUCAGAUGAGACUUUGGAUUAAAAUGUUGGGCAAUGCCAGAACUGUUCAAACUAUGGGACUUCAGGAGAUGAAAUAAAUAUAUUUUAUAAUGGGAGAUAAACAGAUGUAUUUGGGCCCACUUUAUAUAAUAGCAGUUAGCUAUUAGCUAUUAGCUAUUAGUGUUUUGUGAGACUCCUAAACACUAGUGAAGGGACAGGGUGCUAAAGAGACAAAGUUGGUUGAACUCUUGCUACACAAAUAUACAAAUAUAACUAUUAUUUAAAUUAAUGCACACUGAUAGAUAGAAAAUAAAUUAGUCCAUCAACAUAGUAAUUAAUAAUAUUUCCCUUACACAACUACCUAAAUCCUUUCUUUGAGAAAACUAAAUCAAAAAGAAAAUAAACACAUUAUUUCAUAUCAUACCGUUAGUAGAACAUAUACUACCUUUUAGAUUUCAUGAUUCUACAUGAGCAUUUAUCUUUGAAUAAAUACAUUGUUAUAUCUCUGAAUAAAUAAAACCCUAGCAUAAUGAGUCUCUGACAUCUUGGUUUAAACUUGUUCUGGUAGACAGUUGUUGAUAGCUUACCUGCCUCAUUUUUCUAUUUGUAAAACAUACAAUCUACCCGUCUUAAACCUUUAUAAUUGUAAUUAAAUAAGAAAAUUUGAAAGUAUGUGCAUAUGUGUGUGUUGCACUUAUUUCAAUGAGUGUCUUCUAAAAAUCCACAUGUAAAGAUUUGAUUAUAGGACUGUAGUAUUGGAAAGUACUGUGGACCAAAUCCAUGGGGCCACCAAAUCUUUGAUUUCAACCUCCAACUAUAAGCUAAAUAAAUCUUUUCUCCUUAUAAAUUAACUGCCUUAGUAUUGUGGUAAUUCAAAGAUGAUUAAUAUAAAACAUCCCAGUACUGAUGGGGAAAUUUCACUUUUGUUUUUGCUAGUACAGAAAUGUUAAGAAUACAACCAAAUAUUUUUAAAGCAUAAGUAGUCAAAAGAACAUGCUUAUUCUGAUUAUUUUAUAAAUUCAAUUCUCUUGGUGUUUCAAGUAAUAUCACACUAUUUACAGAGAUUAUGCAGAGCUGAGUUAUCUAUAUGGAUAAUACCUCCCUUGACUAAUCAUUGUAAAUAAAUCCAAUUAUUGCAAUGGGAUAUAUUGUAAUUGAAUUGGACUUAAAUGCUUAUAUUUAACAUAGUCUUGCAUAGUUAGGUCCAUGGAGAAAUACAUAUCUGUAAUGCCUACAAUGCUUCUUGGAACAGAGUUUUCUUAAUAAAAUCUUUAUGAACUUCACAUAAUUAUUAGUUGGAAGCACAAUAUGAAUUUUCUAAUGACUUUUCAGCUACACCUUCAAGUGAUAGAAAUAUGGCACUAAAAUGAAUGUACUGUCAGUGCACAUUCUGAUGAUUCUGUUACUUCCAGGAGUUUAUGACACUGAUGGUUUUUAAUCAUUUAGUUAAAAGUGAGAAAAGAGAAAACCUUCCUUUUUCACCUUGACAAUGGAAGUAUGAUUAAAAACUGAUUAUAUAACUAUGACCAUAGAAUCAAUCAUUUCUUAGCACACACUUGCAGGAGAAAUUAAAUUAACAUUGAAAAUAGCCUAAUGGCAACUAAGAGAUAGAAAAGAUCUGGAGAUCAUGCCAAGCUUUUCAUAAUUGAGUCUUACAUGUAGACCUUUGGUGCUACGCUAUACCUGUAAUGUAGGCAUUGAUAAAUAGAGUAACACUUGUCUCUUAAGGUAAUGUUUAUAUACCUCUGAAAUAAACAACAUAAAAUCUCUGCCUAACUCUUGCUCAUUCAACAGAGCAUUUCAGAUGUGUCUCCCAGAAUGUUUCCCUCAAAGUGUAGCUUCCAUAAAGUAGUGAUUUUUCUCAGUCGUGUGGUUGUGCCAUUAAUUCAAUCUCCCUUAAACCUACAGGACUGGUGACAAGUUGAGAGCCCAUGAUUUUUAAGAGGAUUUUAGGGAUUAAGUCUAGAUUUAACUGAAUUUAAUACAGAAAUAUCCACCCUCAUACAAAUCACUGGAAAAAAAAUCUGCCUCAAACUUCCCUGAAAAGUAGACUAGAAAAUAUAUCUAUCCUUAUUUCCUGUGAGACCUUCCUGAAAAGAAAUCAAAAGGAGACAGAAGCAAGCUGAAGAGGCAAAUGGCUAAAUGGCAAAAUGGCUGCUCAUCUGAGCUACUGACUUUACUUAUACCCAUAGGUUACAUUAGGUCACAAUGUAAGAUGUUUUGCUCAUGAUUAGAUAUGUGCUUUGGCCAAGCAUGCAUUGCUUAUCUGAAGAGUUCCUAGGAAAAACUUCAGAAUGCUCCAGCUUUGGGAAACAGGGUGCCUAUUAUUCUCUGGGACUCUGCUCACCAAAGAAACACUGUCUUGUAUAUUCCCACCAUCAGAACCCUUUCACCUACCUUCUUGUUAGUCCAAGUAGAAGAUAUAAGGGUUGGUGGGGAUCUAACUAAUAUUGGCUUUAAUGUACAAAGAAGUUUAGUGCCAAAAUAUAUUAAUUAUGCAGGUUUUAAAACUACAUUUGAAAAUAUGAAUAUCACUAUGAAGUCUUAUAUUCUCCUAUCAAUAUAUUUUAUUUUUCUUUAGUUCUAAAUGUGAGUGAAAGCAUUACAAAUUUAAAAUUUUGGCCAGGCAUGGUGAUACUUGCCUGGAAACACAUCAGUUUGGGAGGCUGAAGCAAGAGGAUUAUAAAUUCAAGGUCAGCCUUAGCAAUUUGUCGAGGCCCUAAGCAUCUAGACCUCACCUCAGAAAUAUGUGUCAGUAGUUAAGAGCCCCUGAUUCAAUCCCAGGUAGCAAAAAAAAAAAAAAAAAGGAAUUUAAAGUCUUGCAUAAGCCAAUUUGUUCCUGGCUCAGGUCUUAAAUUUGGUUGCAUGACCAGUGUGAUCUUAGUUAUGAAUGAUAAUAACAUUUUAUUUUUUUCUAUAAACUUCAAUAAUCUUCUGAUUCUAUCUAACAUCAUUAAUGUUUUCCUUGGUAGUUUUUUUUUUUUUUUUUUAACUGGUUCUUCUUGGUGAGGCACUGGGUUCAAUUCUCAGCAUCACAUAUUACUAAAUAAUAGUAAAUGUCCAUCAACAACUAAAAAAAAAUUAAAAAUAUCAAAAAAAUAAAUCUAAAUUGAAUAGGGUAAAAAUAUUUUAACUUUCUCUUUUCAGUCAAUCUUUAUGUGCUCUUUAAGAAAUUCAAAUAUUCUGUUUUCAAAUAGUCUUAGUUGAAAAAUAUUUUUAGUUAUUUCAACAGUAAUUUUCUUAAAGCUUAUAAAAUGGAUCAUAUAUAUUGUCAUUUAAAACAUUUCUCUACAAGGAAAUUUCAAUCUGAGUUUUUUGACAGUUAUUAGAUAACAACUACUUUUCAAGUAACUUCACCCUGAUUCAUUGUACUUCAAAUAAUGAAUUUGCUGAAAACAGUGUUUUUAUGUAAAAGGCUUAAAAUUGCAUUUCUAUGUUCAAAAAAACAACUUGUUAUGAACAUGUGGAAAUUGUUAAUUUCAUUCUUUCUAUCCUAUAAUGAAUUCCCAAAGAACUCUUAAAGGUUUUAUCAGAUCUAAUUUAACUGUAGCCAGGAGGAUAGUUUUAUAAACUCAAUAGAAAAUUAUUCUGUUUCUUAGUAAAUUUUUUUUCAAUGUACAGAAAAUAUAUUGUCAUAUUUCUCUUCUAAUGUUAAAUAGUUUAUCAUUUUCACCAAGGUAGACAAAUUUUAGAGACUUUAUUUAGUGUAUGUGUAUGUGUGUUAAUUGUGUUUGUUAUUUUUUUAAUGUAGCUAUAAUUAUCUAACUCGUUUCUAAUCAUCUUUCUCUUUUCAGUCAAUCUGAAAUUUUGAAAACUUAAUAUUUUCCUGAAUUUACAAUGAUCCCAGUUCUUUAAUAGUCACUUAAUACAAUACAUUAAAAUAAAGGUAAUUGAUAUAAAAUUGUUCUCAUCUGAAAAUCCAAAUGAAAAACGUAUUCUUGCUGGAAGAAUUAUAACCGACCCAACUGCAUGUAGAUCUGUCAGGCUCAAUCCUCAGAAACUUCAGAGUAGAGGAGUUCAAGUUCAUUUGAAAUAGAAUUGGGUAUUUGGGAUGAAGGUCUAUGAAGCAUGACACAUUUCAAACUCAUAUUCACUAAGCAAACAUCAGACUCCUCAUGCAACAAAGCCCAAAGACAAGUUCAUUCUGCUAGGAAUUUCAUCCUUAAGAAGCAUGCUGAUACUUAGUUUAACCUGAAGUGUUAAGUUCAAAUUAUAGGUUGAAAAAAAUAUUACAGAAAUCAUUGAAAAAUAAACUUUUAUGAAAAAUAAAAGGAGAUGGUCGGAUCCCAAAUGUGGAAUUCCAAUGGGAGAAUUCAAAUAAACAGUGAUUUUUAAUGAGACUUUACAAAUAUCAUCCUCUCUUAGCUGAUGAAUGUUUUAUAGUGUCAGAUUUUGAAAUGAUUCCUAAUUCAAGGUGGCCAGAUGAACUAGAAAAUUUUGAAAGAUUCUUAGAUACACCAAAAUCUAUGUUCAUUAUAUUUAUUAUUCUCUGUUCAUUCUUCAUUAGUAGCUGGAAGUAAAAUAGUCCAAUUAACAGUAUCUGUGUAUUUGUUUGGAGAUUAAGUCUCUAUGAAUUCCAGAUGGGGCAGAAGGGGUGGGAGAGAAAGGGAGGGGGCAGGGUAUUAGGAAAGAUGGUGGACUGUCAUGGACAUCAUUAUGCAAAAUACAUGUAUGAAGACACGAAUUGGUGUCAACAUACAUUUAUACAACCAGAAAUAUGAAAAGUUGUGCUGUAUAUGUGUAAUAAGAAUUGUAAUGCACUCCACUGUCAUUUGUUUUUUAAAAAAUCAAUUAAAAAGUCUCUAUGCAAUUUAAACUAGCUUAUGAUACGUGACACACAUAGUUGGAUAGGAUAUGAUGGUUGUCAAAAUAUUUCAAUGAAGUUGACAAAAUGUAGAUGGUUGGAAAUUAGUAAUUCAAUCACUAGGAACCAAAAGGUUCUGAAAUCAGUAAUUUCCUCCAUGUUUGAGGAUGUGAGAAAGAACCUAUAUGAAGGAUUUUAGGUCAUUAAAAGUCAACUUCCCAUCCAUCCAGGUUUAUUAUAUAUUUAUUCUAUACCCAAGAGCAUAGUAGACACUGCAGUACUAAAAGGGAUUCCUGGUCUUAAGAAACCCAUGGUCAAAAAGGAAAGGAUAGAUCUGUAAAUAAAUUAGUCCAGUAAAAUAUUACUGAUAGGAUAAUUUAAAAUGAGUAUUCCAGAAGCUCUUUUUUAAAAGAAAGAAGUAUUACUACACAGGGAAAUGGGUAGAAGGAAAAUUCCAUAAAGCUUAUAUUGCUAUUCUUGAAGCAUUUUUCUUUAUUUGUUUUUGGAUUGGCCAACAGAACUUAAUAAAGAAAAGCAUACUCAUCUGAAUUUUCAGGGUAUUUUCUCCUCAUAUUCAUUCAUUCAACAAAUGUUUUCUGAGCACUUACGUUGUGCCUGUCAUUGUAUAUUUGUAUCAGGUUCUGGAAAUUACUAAAACGUGUUUCCUGUUUCAAAUGUGCAUGAUUUGGGAAGAAAAAACAGUGUAGCACAGUUCUUAGUUGCAAGUGUAUAACACACCCUAAUUUAAAAGCAUUCCCUUUUGAGUAGUCUUCUUACACGACCUAUAAGAAGCCCUAAAAUUGAGAAUGUACACCUGGAGUUAACUGAGUCUAUUACUCCCAGGGUCUAUGCACUUGGAGGGAUAGAUCCAGAGCCAGAAAUGGGCAAACUGUUUUGAGGGUCUUCUCAGACCAUAGUAAAAGUGGAAGAAACAAAAAAAGAAGCUACUACUGCAUUGCUGGUAAAUUCAAUUUGGUUGUCUCUAUUAAUUUUUAUUAUAGUAUUAUAGUGCUAUUUAAUAAUUGGAUUCAUUUUGAUAAAAUUAUACAUGAAUAAAAAUUGGUUCACUCCAAUUGGUCCCCAGUGGCCCCCACUUUUCCUCCCUAUUCUCCUUCUUCUACUACCCCAGUGAUAUUUUUAUAUUAUUUUUAUUGGUGCUUUAUACAUAUAAAUAAAGGUGGAAUUCACUGUGGUAUAUUUAUACAUGCACAUACAGUAAUUUUGUUAAAUUAAUUCCUCAUUUUCGUGUCCCUUUUCCCUCCCUCUCAAUUUUCUUCUUCUACUCCACUUGAUCUUUCCUAUUAUCUUUAUGAUAUAAGGUCUCCUUCCCCUCUUUUUUUUUCCUUAUUUUGCUCUGGCUCCCACAUAUUAUAGUUAAUCAUGGAUGGCUUUGCUAGCAUUCUUCCCAAAGGAAAAUACAUAUAACUUCUCAGAUAUCAUCAUAAUGCAACUCUGUGUUACCAAUUAGCUAGAGGAAAGGACUUAAUGGAUUCCUCCAUUUAUUUUGCUUAUUUGUUAAUAAGUAAGACAAUAUAAAACUAGAAAUUACUAGUCAUUAGAUAAAAAGUAUCUACACUAAGAAAUUUAAAACAAUUCUAUGUGAUACAUCUGUAAUUGCAUGCAUUUCCAAAUAUAAUAGUGUAGAGUCUGUAUAACUUGCUGUGUAGAAGUUCUGCUUACUGUUAACAGGAAUACUAUUUUAAGGAGAUGUGAAGUCUGUGGCAUAUGUUCUUAUUUAAAUGAAUUUUGUGUAUACUUAAAUGACAGUUAAGCAACUAUGUUUAGGUGGGAAGAAUGUAGUAGAUGAUCUCCACAAUGUGGAAAUACUACCUGUAAGAUGACUCCAAAAAAACAAAAAUUCUGAUUAUUAAGUAAAUUUCUAUCUAAUGACUAGAAUCAGAAUUAAUGAUAUUGUCAUGUGCAAAAGGACAUCUAAUGCCACCUUGAAAAGCAAGAAUUUAAUAACCAAAUUAAUAGUUUUGAAACAAAAUAAAGGUAAGCAUUCUGAGAUAUAUGCAUAUAAAUGCAUUUAUAAUAUUGCACUUUGGUAUUUAUUUUUCUAGUUGCAUAAGGGGACUGUUUAUGCAUAAAUUUAAAUUGAAAUAGUAUUUAUUUCUUCAAACUAUUCAUUCUAACUUAAAGAACCAUACAUUUUAGUCUGAUUAUUUACUAAAUAUGGCAAUAGAAAACUAAUCAAACUGUCAAAAUCCUGAAAAAUUAAAAUGUAUGCCAUUUGGCUUGUCUUACUGUUUUAGUUCCCAAGAGGUAAGCAAAUUUGCUAACUAUGUCUGUUAUUAUAUACUGUGUUAAUAGUGUCUGUUGAGAUAAGUUGAUUGCAAAAAUGUCCUCAGUUAGUUACCACUUCCUAUAACAAUAAACUUUGAAACAUGAUUUUGCAAUAUCUCCUAUUAAAUGGUGGGCUUUUAUCUUAGCCCUUCAGUCUAUAAGAACUUUGUCUCAUUAUGUCUAGGUGUGUAUGUGAGGACAUUUCCCAAAGACAUUAGAAUUUAAAUCAGUAGCCUGAAUAAAAAAGAAUCUCCCUCAGCAAAUGACUGCACAUUACCCAACUCCUCGUGAGCCUGUAUGGAAGUAGAGGGCAUAUUCUCUCCUUUCCUGCCUUAAGCUGCAAUGUCCAAGUAUUCUGCUCUCAGAUACCAGAGCUCUUGGUUACCUGAGACUUUGAACUUACAAAAACUUACAUCAUUGGUUCCCUUGGGUUUCAUGCCUUUGAACUGAAACAGAAUUUCAUCAAUGGGGUUUCUGGUUUUCUAGCUUUCAAAGGAAGAUGGUAGAGUUUCUUACCUUCACAAUCAUGUGAGAUGACUUCCUUAAUAAAACUCUCUAUUUUUCUACUUCAUUCUGUUUCUCUGGAGAAUCCUAAUACAAAAUAUACAAACAUACCUAAUGGCAUUGAUGACAAGCAGCAUAUUUUAAAAUAUAAUGAAAAUUUAAUCUUAAUUUUAUAUUUAUUAGAUGAUAUUUUGAAAUCAAACACUAUUUGAAGUUACUUGUGAUUUCCCAUUUUACACAGAUAUGACAAGAACAAAGAACAAUCCAGGAGGAAGAGCAUAUGUAGUAUUCAAGAACUCAUGACUCAAUGCUUCAUUCUCCAGACAUCACCCUGGGGAGCAGACACUUUCUUUUGCUUGUUAAUGAUAUUUUCCUGUCAUUAAGCACCCACAUCUCCACAUUUUGGUUUCUACUGCCCCGAGCCAAAUGAAUAAUCCUAAUUGUCCUUCUGUAUCUAUUUAACUCUUGAGUAUUUUUUCAACGAUGACAACUAAUUUUAUGGUGUGAUACCUAAAGGGAAUAUGACAACAAAGAAGCCAUUUUCUCUAAGUGAUUUUGGAUGUUCAUUUAAUCAACAAGUGUUUAUAUUUAGUUCCUGCAGUACACCAUAUAAACUAUGCCAUUUAUUGGAGAUACAAGGGGCUUAUAUUAUUCAAGAUACAGUUCUAAAGUAUCUUACUGGAAGUAAGUUAGUGUUGAUAAUAUACUGUGAAGUGCAUAUCAUUAAAAUACUAAGUCAUGGAGACAUUGAAAUGACUGGCCCAGUGUUGAUACAGAGGUAGUAAGCAUCACAAUAAAAUGUGAACCACAUUUGUGGUUCCAAAGCCAAUAACUUCAAUAUUGGGAUAUGUUAUAUGGAGAGUUAAAUAACUGAACAAAAUUCUUUCCCAAAGGUGUCUGAAACUACCCAAACAAUGUGUAUUAAUACCUUGAUACUCAGUUAAUCUUGAUAAUAAUUUGUGAAAAUUCAGAUUUGAGAGGGAGAAUUGAGGAAAGUUGUCUGAAAAAGGUGACAUAUAAGCUAACCAGCAUGCAGACUUGUGGAAGGCAGGGGUACAAUUGAGUACUGGAGAGGUAAAGCUGCACAGGAGCAUCACAGGAACAUGAGUGUGGUUGAGGCCCAAAGAGCUAAUGUUCUUGAUGAGGUUAGACAGGUCUGCGGAAGCCAGUACAUAAAACCACAUAUACUCUGCUGAAGACUUGGCUUAUUUGCACUGACUAAUUUCAGAUUUAUAAAUAAAAAUUUUAUAACAGCUUUGUAAUGGAGAGGACAAGAAGUUUGUUUUUUAUUGACUUUUUAAUUAUUUUUUAAGUUCAAGCAGUUCAAAACCAGUGAUCAUGUAUACUAGGCAAG